UACGUAGGGUCCGAGCGUUGUCCGGAAUUAUUGGGCGUAAAGGGCUCGUAGGCGGUCUGUUGCGUCGGGAGUGAAAACUUACAGCUUAACUGUGAGCGUGCUUUCGAUACGGGCAGACUUGAGGCAUUCAGGGGAGAACGGAAUUCCUGGUGUAGCGGUGAGAUGCGCAGAUAUCAGGAGGAACACCGGUGGCGAAGGCGGUUCUCUGGGAAUGUCCUGACGCUGAGGAGCGAAAGUGUGGGGAGCGAACAGG
rnacentral:rRNA from 1 species